CCUGGGGUGGUCCAGUGGCCAAGACUCUGAGAUCCUAAUUCAGGGGGUCUAGGUUCGAUCCCUAGUCAGGG
rnacentral:tRNA from 1 species